rnacentral:rRNA from 1 species
AUUGAACGCUGGCGGCAUGCCUAACACAUGCAAGUCGAACGGCAGCACAGUAUGUAGCAAUACAUAUGGGUGGCGAGUGGCGGACGGGUGAGUAACGCGUGGGAAUCUGCCCUAUAGUGGGGGACAACCCGACGAAAGUCGGGCUAAUACCGCAUACGCCUACGGGGAAGGCUUCGGCGCUAUUGGAUGAGCCCGCGUCGGAUUAGCUAGUUGGUGAGGUAAUGGCUCACCAAGGCGACGAUCCGUAGCUGGUCUGAGAGGACGAUCAGCCACACUGGGACUGAGACACGGCCCAGACUCCUACGGGAGGCAGCAGUGGGGAAUAUUGCACAAUGGGCGAAAGCCUGAUGCAGCAAUGCCGCGUGUGUGAAGAAGGCCUGCGGGUUGUAAAGCACUUUCGGUAGGGAAGGAUAAUGACGGUACCUACAGAAGAAGCACCGGCGUAACUCCGUGCCAGCAGCCGCGGUAAU